GAAUUACUGGGCGUAAAGAGCUCGUAGGUGGUUUGUCGCGUUGUUCGUGAAAACCGGGGGCUUAACCCUCGGCGUGCGGGCGAUACGGGCAGACUAGAGUACUGCAGGGGAGACUGGAAUUCCUGGUGUAGCGGUGGAAUGCGCAGAUAUCAGGAGGAACACCGGUGGCGAAGGCGGGUCUCUGGGCAGUAACUGACGCUGAGGAGCGAAAGCGUGGGGAGCGAACAGGAUUAGAUACCCUGGUAGUCCACGCCGUAAACGGUGGGUACUAGGUGUGGGUUUCCUUCCUUGGGAUCCGUGCCGUAGCUAACGCAUUAAGUACCCCGCCUGGGGAGUACGGCCGCAAGGCUAAAACUCAAAGGAAUUGACGGGGGCCCGCACAAGCGGCGGAGCAUGUGGAUUAAUUCGAUGCAACGCGAAGAACCUUACCUGGGUUUGACAUGCACAGGACGCCGGCAGAGAUGUCGGUUCCCUUGUGGCCUGUGUGCAGGUGGUGCAUGGCUGUCGUCAGCUCGUGUUGUGAAAUGU
rnacentral:rRNA from 1 species